rnacentral:tRNA from 1 species
GGGCGAGUAGCUCAAUCGGAUAGAGCACCAGCCUUCUAAGCUGGGGGUUGCAGGUUCGAUCCCUGCCUCGCCUACCA